rnacentral:lncRNA from 1 species
UGUGGUAAGAAUCGAAAGGUGAAAGAUUGGUAGAGGGGACGGAUCUGGGAGGUGAAGAGGAGGAGCCGCCGCCAUCGGAGAGGGUAUGGUCUCGGGAAAGGGCGAAGGAGGUCGCGGUGGAAGAUCUCUGCGAAAGAGAAAAGAGCCUCCUUCCUGCUACUCGCAGCAUCUCUGCUCAAUGGGGAAUCUAGGGUUUCGAGAACAGAGUAGUCCUGAGGUUAGGGACGGCCAAUGCAACAGAGCGAAGAGUCUUCCCGUAAAAUUAGUCUUCUAGGAAAGAAAAGGUCAAAGCUUUUUAAUAUUUAUUCAUCCUGAAUAAAAUAUGUUUUUUCAGUUUGAUCUUUGAUGAGAGAUUUUGUUGUUUUACAAAUAUAAUUGUUGUUUAAUUAUAUUUUCGAUACAUUUAAAAAAAAAAAAUUCUUUAGGAUAGUCAAUUAGUCAUUUUUAUGUUUCUGUCACAAAUUAAGAAAAAAAUGACCAAUUUUUUUUUAUUAAAAGGUAAAAAUAUAUUUAUAUCCUAAGACUAAUUAAUUUAGACUUAAAGUUUAGAACUAAAGGAUUGGUUUUGAGCAUAGUGUUUUAAAUUUUAAAAAGUAAAACAGAAAUAUUAAAAAUUUUAAAAUAAAAAUGAAUUAUUUUGGUCAUUUUUUUCUUUGAACGUUAUUUUUGUGACAAAAACUUUAAAUGACUAUUUGAGAGAAUUGAAUUUUUUUAACAUUGACUUGUUUUUAUUAUAAAUUAUAAAAAAAAAUUAUUACAUUUGCAUUUUAUAAGAAUUUUUAUUUACAAAGUACACCAUAAUAAAAAAAAUACCCUAAUAAAAAUUGAUGUCAUUUUUUUCAUUUAAUCUAAUUUGACUAAACUUUUUGAUGUAUAAGUAUUAAUGAAUUAUUAUUUAACUACUAGAUAAAUUAUGUUUAACCUGACAAAAAUAUAUAUAUACUGUACACACAUAUUCAUCCAUAUCAAUUUGAGAACAAUGGUGUAUUUUAAAAAUCAAACCCAAACUUUAUUAAGAAGAGGAUCUUGUCUGCAAUGACAAUAACUAAUGAAUAAAAUGUAUUUGGCUUGCCAAAUUAAAAAAAAAAAUCCAAUUAAGCUAUUCAAAAUACAAAACUGUUUUCAAACAAUAAACACAUACAUCGUUUCAUUCACCAGAUGGGACAGAUGCUAAGUCAUACAAUGACAAGUUUGUAUUAUUCAGUAAAACCAAGCACAAUCGUUUACUUGCUGAGAAGACCAAAGUGUGAGGAAAGCGUACUUGCACUUAGCCAGAAAGUAUAUAUAAAAGAAAAACAAAAAAACAAAUGAGGAUCUUUGAGACACAAACACUGUCUGACGUGCGUUUAUUCAUCAACCAAUGAGUAACUUGUUCUCUUCCAAGAAGCUGUAAGUUGGUACUUCCAAGUUGUAAGGUGCAGGACCUUUCCUGAUCCUUCCAGAGAUGUCGUAAUGCGAACCGUGACACGGGCAAAACCAGCCACCAUAGUCACCAGCAGUGGCAGGUUCAGAACCAAAACCAACCUCGUUUCCUUGAGUAAGGACUUGAGAAGAAAAACCUGAUAAUAGCAUGAAAAAACAUUAAUAUGUUCACAUCAAAGCAAACUUUUUUUCAAUCACCACAAUCAAUAUGUGACCUUUAACGAGUGCAUGCCGUAUAAGAAUAAUGCAGGAACAUGAGAGACUAAUUGAAACACAUACUAUACAACAACAUCAAAUUCAUUACCCUAAUCAACUGAAAAUCAAAAAUUACAAAUUCAAUAAGCAUAUGAAAGAAACGCUUAAAACUCCAAAGCUAAAAUCGCAAAAAAUAGCUCUUUUGGUGAACAAAAAGUUCCUCAGCAUGCCCUAUUAAACUGCUAUAAAAUACCCCAAACCAAGUAUGCAGCUAGAACAUCCAUCUCCGUAAUAAUGAAGAAAACACAAAGACCAAAACUUUAGAGACCAAUAACCAAUCACAUUAUGAAUAACCCUCAGCUAAAUAUUGUAGAAAAGAAGACCUAAAGAUCCAUCGAAACAAACACUCUACAACAAUACCAAAUUCAGUGAAAACUAAACUACUCUAGAACAUCCAUCUCCCUAAUAAUGAAGAAACAAAAGGAUACACAAAGAUCAAAACUUUAUAGAGUCCAAGAAGCCAAUCAGCCUAUCGUGAAGCUUCUCUCAUCAAAGGAAGGAUAAUCUCAGAACUAAUCAAUCAACUCAAAAUGUUUAUUUCUUGCUGCACGAAAGAAGCAAUCAUACAAGGCAAAGCUAUUCCGGUAAGGAGUAGAAUGAAAGGAAAUGGUACAUCAAUCAAGCUCUAGUACACGGUCCUAGAUUCAUGGAAACCAAACACAACACGUAGAUACGAUAGUAAGAAUCUCAAUCAUUACGGGACUCAAUACAAACAAAACAAACAAAAAAAACGAAUUUUUACAUCAUUCAAUCAAUCAAUCAACACCUGAAAUGAAAAUUUAAAUCAAUCCAGAUGAAGAGAGAGGCGUGUAGAUCUGCAGACCUCUUAUGAGAUUCCUGUGGUAAGAAUCGAAAGGUGAAAGAUUGGUAGAGGGGACGGAUCUGGGAGGUGAAGAGGAGGAGCCGCCGCCAUCGGAGAGGGUAUGGUCUCGGGAAAGGGCGAAGGAGGUCGCGGUGGAAGAUCUCUGCGAAAGAGAAAAGAGCCUCCUUCCUGCUACUCGCAGCAUCUCUGCUCAAUGGGGAAUCUAGGGUUUCGAGAACAGAGUAGUCCUGAGGUUAGGGACGGCCAAUGCAACAGAGCGAAGAGUCUUCCCGUAAAAUUAGUCUUCUAGGAAAGAAAAGGUCAAAGCUUUUUAAUAUUUAUUCAUCCUGAAUAAAAUAUGUUUUUUCAGUUUGAUCUUUGAUGAGAGAUUUUGUUGUU